UUGAGUUCGUGAGGGACUUGUCACUUGGGGUUGUUCCUCUUUAAAAGGACCCUUAAGGGUGGGGUUAGAGAUCAGAGAGAGAUCAUUGAGGGAUCUUCUUGUAUCUGUGAGAGAUCGAGAGACCGGGAGAGCUUCAAUUGUAAUCAAAUGAGUGAUUAUUUAAUAAAAAUUCUCUUCCCCAUAUUUCUUUUUUUUUUCAUGGUGUUCCUGGUGUCGUGUUCCACUGCAUAAUCUUAUUGGGCAUGGUCUAAGCCAUAGAGACU
rnacentral:lncRNA from 1 species